rnacentral:rRNA from 1 species
AAUCUUCCGCAAUGGACGAAAGUCUGACGGAGCAACGCCGCGUGAGGGACGAAGGUUUUCGGAUCGUAAAACUCUGUUGUGAGGGAAGAACAAGUACCAACUAACUACUGGUACCUUGACGGUACCUCACCAGAAAUGCACGGCUAACUUCGUUCCCACCGCCGCGGUAAUACGUAGGUGGCAAGCGUUAUCCGGAAUUAUUGGGCGUAAAGCGGGCGCAGGCGGUCCAUUAAGUCUGAUGUGAAAGCCCACGGCUCAACCGUGGAGGGUCAUUGGAAACUGGGGGACUUGAGUACAGAAGAGGAAAGUGGAAGUCCAGGUGUAGCGGUGAAAUGCGUAGAGAUGUGGAGGAACACCAGUGGCGAAGGCGACUUUCUGGCCUAUAACUGACGCUGAGGAGCGAAAGCGUGGGUAGCAAAC